GGGGGGGGGGGGGGGGGUGCCUGGUGCGGGCAGGUGGAGGGCGGGGGGGGGGUGCUGGUGCCAGCGGGGUGAGCGGCGGACGGGUGAGUAACGCGUGGGGAAUCUGCCUUUGAGGGGGGGACAACAUUUGGAAACGGAUGCUAAUACCGCAUGAAAACUUGAAACACAAGUUUCAAGUUUGAAAGAUGCAAUUGCAUCACUCAAAGAUGAUCUCGCCUUUUCUUAGCUAGGUUGUGAGGUAAACGCUCACCAAAGCGAUGAUACAUAGGCGACCCGAGAAGGUGAUCGGCCACAUUGGGACUGGGACACGGCCCAAACUCCUACGGGAGGCAGCAGGAGGGAAACUUCGGCAAUGGACGAAAGGCUGAACGAGCAACGCCGCGGGAGGGAAGAAGGGUCUCGGAUCGGAAAACUCUGUUGGUAGAGAAGAACGUUGGGGAGAGUGGAAAGCUCAUCAAGUGACGGUAACUACCCAGAAAGGGACGGCUAACUACGUG
rnacentral:rRNA from 1 species